GGGAGAGAAAGGAAAGGAAACAAAUAAACUUUAAACAUGGAGUUGGGUACAAUGAAUGCUAUUCAAUGGAGGAAAUGGACAAAAAAGGACCCCUUUGAACUGUCAAAAAGAUGGCGACGCACGAACAAGAAUCAUAAUUCAGAAUGCUUGGUAUCAAAGUUGUUGAGAUGAUUGAAUCCAGUCAAGAACUUAAGGUUGUGACUGUGAUUGGCAGCUUCCUUCUCAUCUUGACUGUCGGAAAAUGGACGAUUUCAUCCUUUUCAGCUUCCCAUCUGCUUUCAUUUGCAGUUAUGUAAUGUUACUAUUAUCAUAAUGACAUUUUCCCCCACAACUUCUGAUUGGUUUCAAUUAAAACCAGUCUCUCUUUGUAGAUAUUUUUUUCUUAAAUGCAAGACAGAGAGAGUACCUGUAGGUCGUGACAAGAUGAUGAAGGAAAAUUGAGAUUUCGAGCCUGGUGAGUUCGACUCCAGGACAUAGCCUCUGUCCCCCUCCAAAAGGUGUAAAGUUAUGGUUGUUUGUAGCAGACAAAUUUUCCUGUUUAUAUUUUUUACAGUUGCAGCCAUACUUCAAUCAUUCAUAAAGAUUAAAACGAAACAAGAUAUGAUUAAUAAAGUCACAAACUUGCAAAUA